rnacentral:rRNA from 1 species
AUGCGAGAGUCCCUGGAUCGCACGCCCAGUUACCUCGCGCUCGCGGUGGAUCUCCUUCUCGACAUCAUCGCUCCCGGUGGAUCGAGACGGGAGGAGAACAACUCAACAAUGUGGAAACGUUGGUGCGGCCGGACAGCGGCGGUGCCGUCGUGGGAGCCCCUCCCGGUGGAUCUCCUUCUCGAAAUCAUUGCUCGCACUGACGUUACAACCGUCGUCCGCUGUGCCGCGACCGGCAGGAUCCUUCGGCGCGGCAUCCUCGACCCGGCCUUCCGGCGCAGCAUCAUGGCCCACGACCACGACGGCUUUGAUCCCGCCCUCCUCCUCGGCAUCUCCUACCGGGAACGCGGCGAUGUCACGACCCACCGCGUCAUCCACACCCCAGGGCCAACAAAGCUCACUGCCCGCCUCGACGAACUUAGCUUCCCGGACUCGCUCAGGGCCGUGGCCUCGCGGGGCAGCCUGGUCGUCCUCUGCCGGCACCCCCAAGGCCUUGAUGUCAAGCUGCGGGUGUGUGAUGCAUUCACCGGUCAUGUUACCUCACUCCCACCCGCGAGUUUGCCCGGCGUGUACCUCCACGUCGUGCUCAGCAUCGGUGACGCCGGCCGCUCCUUCGAGCUGCUCGUCGCGGACAAGAACAUACAGUUCCACCAGACAUUCUCGUCCAAGGGCGGUCAAUGGAGCGCCGUCCACCAGGUCUCCGUCCCCCACCCAGACAAACAUGUCGGCUCUUACUGCUCCGCCGUCAUCAGUCGCACCGUCUACUGGCCCUGUCAUGUCCACGCCGUCUCCUAUUGGGACCAUGUCCUCGCUCUGGACCUCGACGCGCGGGAGGCGACGAUGAUUAAGCUCCCACGGGGUUGCUUCUCCAGAAUGGCGGCCAGUAAGAAAAACGAGCACCUCCACCUGGCCUCAGUGCGCGCUCGGUUGUGCUUGCUAGUCGCCGAGAGCUGCGGCAUAGCGAUGUGGACGUUGACAGCGGCGACAUGGAGCCGACGGGUGGUUAUCAACACUCUGGAGAUCGCGAGGCAGGUGGGUUUCUCUCCCUACGAAUAUGCCCUUGUGCCGUUGAGUAUCGAGGGGUUCGGGGAGAGGAGCGGUGCCGUCAUCCUAUCACAGCCAAGGUCUGGUAUAAACAGUGGUGAGUUACUCCGACUCGACCUUGGAACUAUGGAGAAAGCGCCUGUCGUCACGAGUCUCAGUGGCCCUGGAAACGUAGUGCGGGUCGCGCGCUUGUUCUUGCACGAGGUUGAUUUACUCUCUUUACUGGAUUUACUGGAAACCAUGAAGCAUUUCUAA